GACGAAACUGCCCUUGACUAAACAGCAUCUUUUGUUCCCGUUUUUGCCCCUCCUCCUUCGUUGAGAGGAUUUCGUCCGCUGAGACAAAACCCUGUCUUCGGUUCGUUUCCAACCAGCUGGUUGGGGGGCAGCCAUGGAAGAACAGUGUUCGUUGCUGGACAUGCGUUGGAGGCCGUCGAUUUUUGUUUGGGAAGUGAGCUGCAAAUCCAGCCGCGCUUUCAGUCUUCGUGUCACAGAUUUAGGAUCGGGAGAUUUCAUCUUUUCUACAGCCUUCGACUGGCUUCCAUCUUUCUUGCUUGCGAAUAUUUGCAUCCUUUGUCUUCAGGCUGGACCAGCAGAUAUUUUCACCCACAUAUUGGUCUUCACCUCUAUAUUCUACACAGUCAAACAGCUGUUGAAAGGUUUGCUCAUGAGGACAAGGGUGAUUUUGCAACUUCACUAAAGCAUUUUAGAGUCAAAACCUCUACAGAGGAGUAGAAAGAAUGUAAGCCACCUGUACAGCAGAGCUAGCAAGACCUAGAUCCCCUUCCACCACCCAGUACCAUAUAUAUAAACACCUGCCCAAACUCUUUUGAACAAUGAGCAACUAAAGGUUGCCCAUAUUUUGAUGUUUUUAUAACUGCUUGAUCUAUUAAAAUAUGCCCAAUAUUUUCACAUAACAAGUAGCACAUAAAACAUGUUAUUAGUUUAUUUUUUGUAACUUAACCUUGCUAAACUAAGCAUGAUACCACUAUUUACAUCACCAUGUUUAUAUAAAUAUUACCAUUUUCCCUGCAUAUUUUUACUACUUUAUACGUAUUUCACACGAUUUCAAAACCCGCAGCAUCGCGCGGGCACCAUUCCUCGUUCAACUACUAUAUCCCACUUGACUUGUCUUGCCUCCCCUGUUUUCGCAUUAGGUGGCUAAGGCUUUAACUUAUUUUUAAAAAUAAAUAUAAAAUAUAAAUGUUGGGCUGUAUCUUGUUGACUGUUUGACUCAAUAAUGCGUUAUACGCUGUGGUCGCACAAUUAAAAUUUAUAUAGUAACUUUCCUUAAUAUUGUCAGUCCAUAAAGAUUUCCAACAUCAAAUAAAAAUACACGAUCCAUCCAGCUCACGUGGGAAAACUGUUAUUGAUUCUAUUAGUAUAAUUUGUUUUGGCAGUGUCUCUCUGGGAUUUUGUUGCUUGCUGGGUUUAUUUUCAAUGUUGAUUCAUUAGAACUGAGGUAUUGUAGGAUUAUCUCAGCCUUUGAUUGUUGCUUUUGAUUGGACUGGUUGAUGAUUUUGCUGUAUUCAAUUAGGAUUGUAUACGAUUUUGAAAGAUUUUUUUUAAGUGACAGAUUUCCUGGAAUUGUAUAACUCCUAUAGGUUUUACCCAGAUCUUUUAAUAAACUUGUAUAGACUUUUAUUAUAGACUUCCAUACUUUGGUAUGAACUUUUGUUAUAGAUUCAGAUAUAUUUGCAUAGACUUCCCAAUACCAUUUUCUUUUAUCACACUUUCUUCCCAACACUAUUUUCUUUAAACUAUCUUGACCUAGUCACUAGUUGACCAUCCCUUUCUUUUUUUUUUCCUCCAAAUUCUUCCUCUACUUGUGUGCACAACAAUGAAUUUUCCUUUGAAAUUUUCAUGAGUUGGAAAUUUCCCUUUGAUUUUGUUCACGAACGGCAAACUCUUCGUCCAAAAAUUCAAUUAAACCUAAACAAUGAAUUUCCCUUUGAAAUUUCCACGAGUUGGAAAUUUCCCUUUGAUUUUGUUCACGAACAGCAAACUCUUUGUCCAAAAAUUCAAAAAUUCUUUUUUUUAAAAAAAAAACAAACCUUUGUCCAAAAAGCAAGGGCCCUAUCAUUUGGUAGUGUUAUGGGUGAUGGAAAUAUAUCUCAACCUUCCGCCGCCUUGACGUUGGCUUCACGCCGAGAUGAUCUCCAAGGGAACUUAUCGGAGAUCGAGAAAUCUCUAGCCGAGCUUUACUCCCAGCAACUCCAACUGGUUGAUUUGAAGAAAUCACUAAUGGAGGAGCUUUGCUUAAUACAGGACGCUUGUAACCACCCAAGGUCCGUGCAUGGCUUAGUGCAUUAAUUGUUUGCCAAACGAUGGAAACAUUUCUAACACAGAGAGAAAAAAAAAAAAAAAAAACCACAUCGUAUGAAAUCUUUGGGGUGGAGGUUGGACUUAUGUCGGCCUUUAUUAUUUAUACCUAAAUCCUACAAAUUCUCCAAACUCCAACAUUUAAUUAAAUCCUUCCAAAUCUAUCUCCUUUUGAAUACAGGUAAAUUUAUUUGGACUUUUUCCAAGUCCUAAUUGAAUACAUCCACAUUUAGAUGGACAUUUUAAAAGUUCAAAGAAGUCUAGAUUGAAUACACCCAAACUGUUAUAGACUUUUUAAACGUUUGUAUAAAUCCAAAUUGAAUACACCCAGAUUUUUAAAAUCUUUUUAAACGCUCUAGAAUCCUAAUAAAAUACACCCUUGGAUUGUUUGGAGGAUUUUUGUUUUAUUUUACCUUAAGCAAUAAUGAUGUUCCUAUUUAUGGAUCCCUUAGUAGGAAUGUAGUUUGUGAUUAAAAACUUUUGGGCUCCAAACAAGGAAUUGGUUUUUAACACCUGAGCUUGAUCAACAAGAAGAAAAUAUUUUACCGCUGAAAUUUUUUGGAUGGCUAGAUUUUAGUUCAGGGCUCUUUGGAUGAUGGUUUUAGAUAGGAAAAAUUGUAGGAUUCACUGGUGCUGAGAUAUAAUCACGUGGCACAGGCCUGCGUGCUCUUCUCCGCUUUUGACAGGAUUGUAUGUCUGCCUGAAUAGAGGAGAUGUAUAUUCAAACACUAAGCAGGUUUGGUAUUGCCUUUACUUCAUUCUCAUACUAUUUUCUAGCUAAUCGCUUAUGAUUUCCUUUUUCUUCUUCUCUGUCUUUCUAUCUUUCUGUCUCUCUCCCUCUCUACAUCUCUCAUGAAAUCUUUGCAGCGAUCCACAGAAGCAGCAGGACGUUCUAUAGUCUCAAUUGUUGUGGACCACACAUUUCUCUGCAUUAAAGAUACUGAGUUCCAGCUCGAACUUUUGAUGCAAUCAUUCUUAUUCUCACGGCUAUUUGAUCUGGUCUGCUGGCUAUGAAUAUGAAUGAACAUGUAUGAGAUAGAGAAAGAGAGAGCAGCCUGAUGAUGUUGAUGAGAGCUAGAGAGAGAAAAACAGAGGAGAAUAGUAGGUUGCUAGAAGAGAACUAGGGCUUCCCAAACUCCUCGGAUCUGCGCCGUGGAGUUUGAAAGUGGAUGAGUGUUAAAAAGAGGCUCUACACAUUUGGAUGCGGAUUAGGGCUACAGGUACUGAUCAUGGAACGCUUUCUAUCUUUUUCGUUUUGAUUCAUUAGAACUGAGGUAUUGUACCAUACAUGGGUUUAGCUUGCAGAGUUUUCGUAGAGGUAAAGAAAGCAUCUGCAUUAGAAGGUUCUGAUUUCAUAUAUACACUUUUGUUGUCGUUGUUUUCUUAAUUGUUUUUAUUCUGGGCCCUUCACUGGUCUCUCUCCCCUCAAUCCUCUUCUCUCGCUUGGCCUCUCGAAUAUCACUCUUUUCUCCAUCACUUCAUUUCCUUUUGGUGUUACAUUUUCUGAUUUCUGUGAAUUUGAGGGGUAUAAAUGGAGGGGGAGGGAAUUGGGUUUGGUUGUGAGAGUGAAAUUAUGCAUCUUUGUAUGUUAUUUCAGUCCAAGUUUGUACCUUUGUAUAUCUGUGUGUGUUAUGUUUUCAUAAAUGGGAAGGCAGCUGUGAUUGGGUUCCUAUUGUUGUUAGAUUUUGAACUCUUGACUGUUAAAGGCUGGUCACGCAUUUCUACUGAUGUUAUCCGUUUAGAUGGAUAUAUGUAGGAGUGUUUAUUUCAUCCUAUUUAAAGGUCACUACUUUAACGUAGGAGAUUGGUGAAUGGAAAUACUAAUCAGAAUCGCAAUAAGUUUAUCUAUUAUGCUGAGUCAAUGAUAAUGGGGUGACAUAAUAUUGUGUGUCAUAUAUGUUUUUACAACUUUUUACAUAUUUUAUACAGUUUCAAUACUCGCAUCAUUACGCGGGCACCUUUGCUAGUAUUGCUUAUAACCUGUUAUGAAAUAUAAACAAUUUGACUGAAUAUACAAUUU